rnacentral:rRNA from 1 species
UACAGAGGGUGCGAGCGUUAAUCGGAAUUACUGGGCGUAAAGCGUGCGUAGACGGUUAUUUAAGUCGGGUGUGAAAGCCCCGGGCUCAACCUUGGAAUUGCAUUCGAGACUGCAUAGCUAGGAUGCGGAAGAGGGAAGCGGAAUUUCCGGUGUAGCGGUGAAAUGGCGUAGAUAUACGGGAGGAACACCUGAGGCGAAAGCGGCUUCCUGGACCAGCACCGGACGUUCAGGCACGAAAGCGUGGGGAGCAAACAGG